CACCUGUUUAUCAAAAACAUGGUUUUAUGUGAUAUAAUAUAAGAUUAAUUCUGCUCCAUGAUAAUAAAAUUAAAUAGCCGCAGUAUAUUGACUGUGCAAAGGUAGCAUAAUCAGUUGUUUCUUAAUUAGGAACUGGUAUAAAGGAAUAAAUGAAAUUUAAACUGUCUUUAAUAUAAAUUUAAAAAUUUAAAUUUUUAGUAAAAAUGCUAAGAUGUGAUUAUGGGACGAGAAGACCCUAUAGAAUUUUAUAUAGGACUAAAUAAUGUAUAAUUAAAUUUAGGUUUAUAUUUAGUUGGGAGGAUUCUUAAAUUUAAAUAACUUUAAGAUUAAAAAAACAUUAAUUUAUGGUUUAUGUUAUAAUGAAUAAAAUUUAGAAUUUUAUGGUAAAAUUAAUUACCUUAGGGAUAACAGCGUAAUAUUUUUAAAAAGAUCUUAUUGAUAAAAAUGAUUGCGACCUCGAUGUUGAAUUAAAAUAAAAAUUAAAUGGAGAAGUUUAAUAUUUUAGUCUGUUCGACUAUUAAAAUUUUACAUGAUUUGAGUUCAAAUCGACG
rnacentral:rRNA from 1 species